AUAAAAAUGGUAUAAUAUUUUGUAGGCAAGUUGAAUUGAUGGUGGCUAUCUGAGUAAAGGGGGGGGGGUGCCUAUGGCAUUACUUAACACUUUUGAAAGGAAAAGCCUAUUGUGAUAUCUAUUGCAAACGCAUUACAUUUAAUGUUAAGUUUCGGUAUGUUUAUCGUCACUUUCAUUGGUAUAGU
rnacentral:sRNA from 1 species